AUUGAGCCUUACAUUUUGUAAACCAGUUCUCAAGUUAUGAAGAUAUCACACUAUUAGAGAAUAACAUCUGUGGAAGAGAGGCUCAAAUGUUAGAUCAAAAUAUUUUUUAGAAUUACAACUUCAACGAUGCUUUGACUUUUUAAAGGUUGGCAGAGCAUCAUACAAGUAACAAUUCUAAAGCAUCUGUAUCUACCUUUGGGGCACCCAGACUUUAUUUAUCAUACAAUUAAUUUUGGUAACUGAAAAACAAU